rnacentral:rRNA from 1 species
GAUAAACGCUGGCGGCGUGCCUAAUACAUGCAAGUCGAGCGAACGGACGAGAAGCUUGCUUCUCUGAUGUUAGCGGCGGACGGGUGAGUAACACGUGGAUAACCUACCUAUAAGACUGGGAUAACUUCGGGAAACCGGAGCUAAUACCGGAUAAUAUUUUGAACCGCAUGGUUCAAAAGUGAAAGACGGUCUUGCUGUCACUUAUAGAUGGAUCCGCGCUGCAUUAGCUAGUUGGUAAGGUAACGGCUUACCAAGGCAACGAUGCAUAGCCGACCUGAGAGGGUGAUCGGCCACACUGGAACUGAGACACGGUCCAGACUCCUACGGGAGGCAGCAGUAGGGAAUCUUCCGNCAUGGGCGAAAGCCUGACGGAGCAACGCCGCGUGAGUGAUGAANGUCUUCGGAUCGUNAAACUCUGUUAUUAGGGAAGAACAUAUGUGUAAAGUACUGUGCACAUCUUGACGGUACCUAAUCAGAAAGCCCACGCUUACUACGUGCCAGCAGCCCGCGGUAUACGUAGGUGGCAAGCGUUAUCCGGAAUUAUUGGGCGUAAAGCCCGCGUAGGCGGUUUUUUAAGUCUGAUGUGAAAGCCCACGGCUCAACCGUGGAGGGUCAUUGGAAACUGGAAAACUUGAGUGCAGAAGAGGAAAGUGGAAUUCCAUGUGUAGCGGUGAAAUGCGCAGAGAUAUGGAGGAACACCAGUGGCGAAGGCGACUUUCUGGUCUGUAACUGACGCUGAUGUGCGAAAGCGUGGGGAUCAAACAGGAUUAGAUACCCUGGUAGUCCACGCCGUAAACGAUGAGUGCUAAGUGUUAGGGGGUUUCCGCCCCUUAGUGCUGCAGCUAACGCAUUAAGCACUCCGCCUGGGGAGUACGACCGCAAGGUUGAAACUCAAAGGAAUUGACGGGGACCCGCACAAGCGGUGGAGCAUGUGGUUUAAUUCGAAGCAACGCGAAGAACCUUACCAAAUCUUGACAUCCUUUGACAACUCUAGAGAUAGAGCCUUCCCCUUCGGGGGACAAAGUGACAGGUGGUGCAUGGUUGUCGUCAGCUCGUGUCGUGAGAUGUUGGGUUAAGUCCCGCAACGAGCGCAACCCUUAAGCUUAGUUGCCAUCAUUAAGUUGGGCACUCUAAGUUGACUGCCGGUGACAAACCGGAGGAAGGUGGGGAUGACGUCAAAUCAUCAUGCCCCUUAUGAUUUGGGCUACACACGUGCUACAAUGGACAAUACAAAGGGCAGCGAAACCGCGAGGUCAAGCAAAUCCCAUAAAGUUGUUCUCAGUUCGGAUUGUAGUCUGCAACUCGACUACAUGAAGCUGGAAUCGCUAGUAAUCGUAGAUCAGCAUGCUACGGUGAAUACGUUCCCGGGUCU